GGGUCGUUAGCUCAGCGGUAGAGCAGUUGGCUUUUAACCAAUUGGUCGCAGGUUCGAACCCCGCACGACCCACCA
rnacentral:tRNA from 1 species